AUACGGAGGAUCCGAGCGUUAUCCGGAUUUAUUGGGUUUAAAGGGAGCGUAGAUGGGAGCUUAAGCCAGUUGUGAAAAGCGCGGGCCCAACCCGCGUCGUGCAAUUGGAACUGUGUUCCUUGAGUGGGUUCGGGGCAGGUGGAAUUCGUGGUGUAGCGGUGAAAUGCUUAGAUAUCACGAAGAACUCCGACAGCGUAGGCAUCCUGCCAGGCCCUUACUGACAUUGAAGCUCGAAGGUGCGGGUAUCAAACAGGAUUAGAUACCCUGGUAGUCCGCACGGUAAACGAUGGAUGCCCGCUGUCGGCGACAGACGGUCGGCGGCCAAGCGAAAGCGUUAAGCAUCCCACCUGGGGAGUACGCCGGCAACGGUGAAACUCAAAUGAAUUGACGGGG
rnacentral:rRNA from 1 species